rnacentral:rRNA from 1 species
UACGUAGGGACCAAGCGUUGUUCGGAUUUACUGGGCGUAAAGGGCGCGUAGGCGGCGCGGUAAGUCACUUGUGAAAUCUCUGAGCUUAACUCAGAACGGCCAAGUGAUACUGCAGUGCUAGAGUGUGGAAGGGGCAAUCGGAAUUCUUGGUGUAGCGGUGAAAUGCGUAGAUAUCAGGAAGAACACCGAUGGCGAAGGCAGUGGGCUGGGCCGGUACUGACGCUGAGGAGCGAAAGCGUGGGGAGCGAACAGG